rnacentral:rRNA from 1 species
GGCUCAGGAUGAACGCUGGCGGCGUGCUUAACACAUGCAAGUCGAACGGACUUUUGAUGAAACCUAGUGAUUUAAAAGUUAGUGGCGGACGGGUGAGUAACGCGUGGGUAACCUGCCUCACACAGGGGGAUAACAGUUGGAAACAGCUGCUAAUACCGCAUAAGCGCACGGUACCGCAUGGUACAGUGUGAAAAAACUCCGGUGGUGUGAGAUGGACCCGCGUCUGAUUAGCUAGUUGGUAAGGUAACGGCUUACCAAGGCGACGAUCAGUAGCCGGCCUGAGAGGGUGAACGGCCACAUUGGGACUGAGAUACGGCCCAGACUCCUACGGGAGGCAGCAGUAGGGAAUUUUCGGCAAUGGAGGAAACUCUGACCGAGCAAUGCCGCGUGAAUGAUGAAAUUCUUCGGAAUGUAAAAUUCUGUUGUUAGGGACGAAAGGCAGUGGUAGGAAAUGACCAUUGAUUGACGGUACCUGACUAGAAAGCCCCGGCUAACUAUGUG